rnacentral:rRNA from 1 species
CAUGCAAGUCGAACGAGAUCUUCGGAUCUAGUGGCAGACGGGUGCGUAACGCGUGGGAACCUGCCCUUUAGUAAGGAAUAACUCAGGGAAACUUGUGCUAAUACCUUAUAAUCCCUUCGGGGGAAAGCUUUAUGCGCUAAUGGAUGGGCCCGCGUUAGAUUAGCUUGUUGGUGAGGUAAUGGCUCACCAAGGCGACGAUCUAUAGCUGGUCUGAGAGGAUGAUCAGCCACACUGGGACUGAGACACGGCCCAGACUCCUACGGGAGGCAGCAGUGGGGAAUAUUGGACAAUGGGGGCAACCCUGAUCCAGCGAUGCCGCGUGAGUGAUGAAGGCCUUAGGGUUGUAAAACUCUUUCGCUAGGGAAGAUAAUGACGGUACCUAGUAAAGAAGAUCCGGCUAACUCCGUGCCAGCAGCCGCGGUAAUACGGAGGGAUCUAGCGUUAUUCGGAAUAACUGGGCGUAAAGCGAGCGUAGGCGGAUUUGUAAGUUGGAGGUGAAAUCCCAGGGCUUAACCCUGGAACUGCCUUCAAAACUACAUUUCUUGAGUUUGGUAGAGGAGAGUGGAAUUCCUAGUGUAGAGGUGAAAUUCGUAGAUAUUAGGAGGAACACCAGUGGCGAAGGCGACUCUCUGGGCCAAUACUGACGCUGAGGUUCGAAAGCGUGGGGAGCAAACGGGAUUAGAUACCCCGGUAGUCCACGCAGUAAACGGUGAGUGCUAGAUGUUGGGAACAUU